UUAUUAUUUUUCCUCCGCUUUAAACUGGAAAAUGGCCCACUUCCCACUGGCGAAAACUCAGGAAAUUUGGCAGGACGACCAGGCCUGGUGAAAAAUUCGAUAUUCUGAAGUCGCCCAAACAAUAAAAUGCAAAAUGGCUCCAUAGCGCCCCCUAAGGUGAAAAUUCACACUAUUGACUGUCACGCCUGUACGCUUUGUCAUAUUGACACAAAAAUUGACACACACAUGUAUCUCAAUAAGAUCUACAAAAAAGUCAGUGCGGGCGUAUCUGUCAAAUGUACGGUUAAAGGGUUAUUUUGCAUUUUUUGCAGAUCUGCACACAUUGGAAUUUCGCUAACUCCUCCGAAGGCUUUCGUUCCACCGGCACCACAUUUGCUCAGGCCAAUCUACACUCCAUGGCCAUUCAAAGUUGUACAAAUCAUAAUGCUGCACCCCAUGGUUUAGGUUCUAGGGGGCGCCAAAAAUAACCCAAAAAUCCACAUUCUUAAAAGUUUUAUAAUUUUUUUUUUGUCCUCACUGGCCUCCAAGUUUUCUAGGAUGAUGCAAUGUCCAGCCAUCAACACAUUUGUGAAGGAAUUUUUACUCCCCAAAAGAGCGCCCCCCCAUGGCAGGACAAAAAAGUCCAUUUUUUCUUGUCCCCUAAGGUGAAAAUACACAUUGUUGAGUGUCACGCCUGUACGCUUUGUCGUAUUGACAAAAAAUUUGACACACACGUGUAUCUCAAUAAGAUCUACGAAAAAGUCAAUGGGCGCGUAUCUGUAAAAUGUACGGCUAAAGGGCUAUUUUGCAUUUUUUGCCGAUUCUCACACAUUGGAAUGUGGCUAACUCCUCCUAAGGCUUUCGUCCCACUGACACCAAAUUUGCUCAGGCCAAUCUACACCCCAUGGCCAUUCAAAGUUGUAAAAAUCAUGCCACUGCACCCCAUGGUUUACGUUCUAGGGGGCGCCAAAGAUGACCCAAAUAUCCACAUUCUUAAAAGUCGUUUUGGCCACUGCAGGAGUACAGAGUACUGCAGGAUACACACACACAGACACACACACACACACACACACACACACAAACACACACACACACACACACACACACACACACACUCAGAGUCUGUUUUUUAGCACCUGCAAAAACAUGCUAUUUACAUAUUUGACAACAAUGCAGAGGCUUCCUUUUGCCCCUGAAAAAAAUCAAAUUUCUAACACAACUUGACUGCUCAUUUCUCCAAAAGACAACCAUGAAGCUCCAUCCAAACCUGAAGCAGGCAGUUGGUGCAUGUGUACAGUAACCUGAGGGGAGUGAGGUGACUGCUUCUGAGGAGAACAUGAGCAGUGAAGAUUCACCUUGGAGCGAGAACAGGGACGUGCACAUGAUUAUACAGGGGCAGGGGCUCAAGUUUUUUCCAGUCGUUUAUACAAUAUGGAAAUUAAUGUGAAAUUAAAAAACAAAGUAUUAAUAGAAAGGUAAUGACUGUCCUGUGUAGGUGACAGUGAUAUCCAAUAGGCUAGGCACUCACGAGGCUGGCUGUGGCAAGUGUAAGUGAAAGCAACACGCACUGGCAGGAAGAACAGCAAACGCCGAUGAAGGAAAAGGGUCUUUGCAGUGAUGGGCGUUACCAGAGAGGACGAUGGCCAGAGGACGCAAAUGGGACGGGGAGGCAGCGCGUUGGGGGGGGGGGGGUGGCGACACAGCUCGGGCCCGCCAGUGCCCCAACGGGGCCCUAGUUCUUUCUUUCUUCUUUUUCCUCCCCUUUGAACUGGAAAAUGGCCCACUUCCCACUGGCGAAAACUCAUGAAAUUUGGCAGGACAACCGGGCCUGGUGAAAAAUUUGAUAUUCUGAAGUCGCCAAAACAAUAAAAUGCAAAAUGGCUCCAUAGCGCCCCCUAAGGUGGAAAUUCACACUAUUGACUGUCACGCCUGUACGCUUUGUCAUAUUGACACAAAAAUUGACACACAUAUGUAUCUCAAUAAGAUCUACAAAAAAGUCAGUGCGGCCGUAUCUGUCAAAAUUACGGUUAAAGGGUUAUUUCGCAUUUUUUGCCGAUCCGCACACAUUGGAAUUUCGCUAACUCCUCCGAAGGCUUUCGUUCCACCGGCACCACAUUUGCUCAGGCCAAUCUACACCCCGUGGCCAUUAAAAGUUAUCAAAAUCAUGACGCUGCACCCUAAGGUUUAGGUUCUAGGGGGCGCCAAAGAUAACACUAAAAUCCACAUAUUUAAAAGUCUUAUAACUUUUUAUUUUUGUCCUCACUGGCCUCCAAGUUUUCUAGGAUGAUGCAAUGUCCAGCCAUCAACACAUUUGUGAAGGAAUUUUUACUCCCCAAAAGAGCGCCCCCACAUGGCAGGAGAAAAAAGUCAAUUUUUUCUUGUCCCCUAAGGUGAAAAUACACAUUGUUGAGUGUCACGCCUAUACGCUUUGUCAAAAUGACACAAAAAUUGACACACACAUGUAACUCAAUAAGAUCUACGAAAAAGUCAAUGCGCGCGUAUCUGUCAAAUGUACGGUUAAAGGGUUAUUCCGCAUUUUUUGCCGAUCCGCACACAUUGGAAUGUGGCUAACUCCUCCUAAGGCUUUCGUUCCACCGGCACCACAUUUGCUCAGGCCAAUCUACACCCCAUGGCCAUUAAAAGUUAUUCAAAUCAUGACGCUGCACCCCACGGUUUAGGUUCUAGGGGGCGCCAAAGACAACCCUAAAAUCCACAUAUUUAAAAGUCUUAUAACUUUUUAUUUUUGUCCUCACUGGCCUCCAAGUUUUCUAGGAUGAUGCAAUGUCCAGCCAUCAACACAUUUGUGAAGGAAUUUUUACUCCCCAAAAGAGCGCCCCCCCAUGGCAGGAGAAAAAAGUCCAUUUUUUCUUGUCCCCUAAGGUGAAAAUACAUAUUGUUGAGAUUCACGCCUAUACGCUUUGUCAUAAUGACACAAAAUUUGACAAUCACGUGCCUUGCCUGGUAUCAUUUUUUUUCAGCACAACCUCACCUGUGCGAAUUUACAGUUAUUUUAUCAUGUUGACAUACUGAAUUUACACAAUGGACCCAAAUUCACACACAAAACAUAAAAUCCGAGUGGAAAAAAGUAACAUUUUUACUGUGAAAACCACAAAUAUGUGUGAUGAACUGUUUUUAAAACUUAAACUUCAAAUAAAAAUUGUAAACUUCAAAACAUAUGCAAAUUUUUAACAAAGAACAUAGUGAUUUACUUCUAUUUACAUCAAAAUGCAGGCAAUGGCCCAGGCGUUCUUUGUAAAAUUAUUUACAAAACACUGUAUAGUCUCACAAAUGUCACUUUUUAUUUAUGCCACUGCAAAAAAACAUGAUGUAAAUGAUGCAUGAUGUAAAACAUGAUGUAAAAAACUUGUGUAGAUCCUCCUCUAUGUCAGUCCAUGUGUAAUUUUUCCAUAAUUCUUUGUUUUUUGCAGCAUUUUUGUUAGUGUAACUGCAGAUUGUGCUGACAGUGUCUAUGGCACAAAAAAAAAAAAAAAUUAAAAUGCCUCAACAUGAACCCCUGGUGGUCUCUGAGGGUGAAACCUGCUAACUGCUGCAGCUCUGUCAGCUUCAGUCUCCCAUGCAGAGCUCUGAGCGCAUGUGUGGCUCUGCAGCCUUAGCAGCGUUGCUAACUCCUCAGUAAGGAAAGCCUGCUUCAUGUCAGAGUCUCUAAACUCCAGAAGAAGUCGAUAAAAGUCCCUUUCUUUCUAAAAAGUCGUUAGGGGGUCUGAAAAGUCAUUGAAUCUAACAACAAAGUCGCUAGGUUUGCAACUACGUGUCCCAGACUGCAUCCCUGCUGAGAGUCCCUCCCUCCCUUCUCAUGUUGCAGGAAGAACGUAAGCACCCUCCCCUUGUCAAUCAGUCACCAUAUAAUUUUGGAUUGGUUGUUGUGGUGAAGUUUUCCACCAAUAGGAGAGAUGUUGUGGUGUGUUUUUUUUUUCUUUUGGCAAGCCUUUUCCGCCUGUAAGACCUGUCGCUAAUGUCUGCAUGCUAUGUUUUCCUGUCUCAUACAGCGCGAUCGAGCGCCGAACGUGAUCAAAAUAAGCAGAAAACAAGUAUCGCGGACAUAAUUUAUCAUAACUCUGGUUUUAUUUGGCCUAUCAACACAAUUUAAAAACUGGUAUAUAGGUUGAGGUCCUCACUUUUGAGAUAAGUUGAAACGGAGAGUCAACGAGGCUCCGUCUUGCAGCUACAUCCGGUUAAAUAUGUCAUGUGACUUGAACGCACACACAGACACACACACACGCACACACACACACACACACACUCAGAGUCUGGUUUUUAGCACCUGCAAAAACAUGCUAUUUACAUAUUUGACAAGAAUGCAGAGGCUCCUUUUGCCCCUGAAAAAAUCAAAUUUCAAACACAACUUGACUGGUCAUUUCUCCAAAAGACAACCAUGAAGCUCCAUCCAAACCUGAAGCAGGCAGUUGGUGCAUGUGUACAGUAACCUGAGGGGAGUGAGGUGAGUGCUUCUGAGGAGAACAUGAGCAGUGAAGAUUCACCUUGGAGCUAGAACAGAGACAUGCACAUGAUUAUACAGGGGCAGGGGCUCAAGUUUUUUCCAGUCGUUUAUACAAUAUGGAAAUUAAUGUGAAAUUAAAACACAAAGUAUUAAUAGAAAGGUAAUGACUGUCCUGUGUAGGUGACAGUGAUAUCCAAUAGGCUAGGCACUCACGAGGCUGGCUGUGGCAAGUGUUAGUGAAAGCAACACGCACUGGCAGGAAGAACAGCAAACGCCGAUGAAGGAAAAGGGUCUUUGCAGUGAUGGGCGUUACCAGAGAGGGCGAUGGCCAGAGGACACAAAUGGGACGGGGAGGCAGCACGUUGGGGGGGGGGACGCGACACGGCUCGGGCCCGCCAGUGCCCCAACGGGGUCCUAGUUCUUCUUCUUUAGGGCCCGAGCCAGCUGCAGAGCAGCCGGGCGUAGAGCCCUAUUAUUCCUGUAUAGGUUUUUCUUUCUUCUUUCUUUCUUUCUUUCUUUAGGGCCCGAGCGUAGCUGCUAAGCAGCUGCGAGAGCCCUCUUGUUCCUGAUGGAUUCUUCUUUUGUUAUUAUUAUUAUUUUUCCUCCGCUUUAAACUGGAAAAUGGCCCACUUCCCACUGGCGAAAACUCAUGAAAUUUGGCAGGACGACCGGGCCUGGUGAAAAAUUCGAUAUUCUGAAGUCGCCCAAACAAGAAAAUGCAAAAUGGCUCCAUAGCGCCCCCUAAGGUGAAAAUUCACACUAUUGACUGUCACGCCUGUACGCUUUGUCAUAUUGACACAAAAAUUGACACACACAUGUAUCUCAAUAAGAUCUACAAAAAAGUCAGUGCGGGCGUAUCUGUCAAAUGUACGGUUAAAGGGUUAUUUUGCAUUUUUUGCAGAUCCGCACACAUUGGAAUUUCGCUAACUCCUCCGAAGGCUUUCGUUCCACCGGCACCACAUUUGCUCAGGCCAAUCUACACUCCAUGGCCAUUCAAAGUUGUACAAAUCAUAAUGCUGCACCCCAUGGUUUAGGUUCUAGGGGGCGCCAAAAAUAACCCAAAAAUCCACAUUCUUAAAAGUUUUAUAAAUUUUUUUUUUGUCCUCACUGGCCUCCAAGUUUUCUAGGAUGAUGCAAUGUCCAGCCAUCAACACAUUUGUGAAGGAAUUUUUACUCCCCAAAAGAGCGCCCCCCCAUGGCAGGAAUAAAAAGUCCAUUUUUUCUUGUCCCCUAAGGUGAAAAUACACAUUGUUGAGUGUCACGCCUGUACGCUUUGUCGUAUUGACAAAAAAUUUGACACACACGUGUAUCUCAAUAAGAUCUACGAAAAAGUCAAUGGGCGCGUAUCUGUAAAAUGUACGGCUAAAGGGCUAUUUUGCAUUUUUUGCCGAUUCGCACACAUUGGAAUGUGGCUAACUCCUCCUAAGGCUUUCGUCCCACUGACACCAAAUUUGCUCAGGCCAAUCUACACCCCAUGGCCAUUCAAAGUUGUAAAAAUCAUGCCGCUGCACCCCAUGGUUUACGUUCUAGGGGGCGCCAAAGAUGACCCAAAUAUCCACAUUCUUAAAAGUCGUUUUGGCCACUGCAGGAGUACAGAGUACUGCAGGAUACACACACACAGACACACACACACACAGACACACACACACACACACACACACACACACUCAGAGUCUGUUUUUUAGCACCUGCAAAAACAUGCUAUUUACAUAUUUGACAACAAUGCAGAGGCUUCCUUUUGCCCCUGAAAAAAAUCAAAUUUCUAACACAACUUGACUGCUCAUUUCUCCAAAAGACAACCAUGAAGCUCCAUCCAAACCUGAAGCAGGCAGUUGGUGCAUGUGUACAGUAACCUGAGGGGAGUGAGGUGACUGCUUCUGAGGAGAACAUGAGCAGUGAAGAUUCACCUUGGAGCGAGAACAGGGACGUGCACAUGAUUAUACGGGGGCAGGGGCUCAAGUUUUUUCCAGUCGUUUAUAGAAUAUGGAAAUUAAUGUGAAAUUAAAAAACAAAGUAUUAAUAGAAAGGUAAUGACUGUCCUGUGUAGGUGACAGUGAUAUCCAAUAGGCUAGGCACUCACAAGGCUGGCUGUGGCAAGUGUAAGUGAAAGCAACACGCACUGGCAGGAAGAACAGCAAACGCCGAUGAAGGAAAAGGGUCUUUGCAGUGAUGGGCGUUACCAGAGAGGACGAUGGCCAGAGGACGCGAAUGGGACGGGGAGGCAGCGCGUUGGGGGGGGGGGGGGGGCGACACAGCUCGGGCCCGCCAGUGCCCCAACGGGGCCCUAGUUCUUCUUAUUUUUCCUCCCCUUUGAAGGGGAAAAUGGCCCACUUCCCACUGGCGAAAACUCAUGAAAUUUGGCAGGACGACCGGGCCUGGUGAAAAAUUCGAUAUUCUGAAGUCGCCCAAACAAUAAAAUGCAAAAUGGCUCCAUAGCGCCCCCUAAGGCGAAAAUACACAUUGUUGACUGUCACGCCUUUACGCUUUGUCAAAAUGACACAAAAUUUGACACACACAUGUAUCUCAAUAAGAUCUACAAAAAAGUCAGUGCGGGCGUAUCUGUGAAAUGUACGGUUAGAGGGUUAUUUCGCAUUUUUUGCCGAUCCGCACACAUUGGAAUUUCGCUAACUCCUCCGAAGGCUUUCGUUCCAACGGCACCACAUUUGCUCAGGCCAAUCUACACCCCAUGGCCAUUAAAAGUUGUACAAAUCAUGACGCUGCACCCCACGGUUUACGUUCUAGGGGGCGCCAAAGAUAACCCAAAAAUCCACAGUCUUAAAAGUCUUAUAACUUUUUAUUUUUGUCCUCACUGGCCUCCAAGUUCUCUAGGAUGAUGCAAUGUCCAGCCAUCAACACAUUUGUGAAGGAAUUUUUACUCCCCAAAAGAGCGCCCCCACAUGGCAGUAGAAAAAAGUCCAUUUUUUCUUGUCCCCUAAGGUGAAAAUACACAUUGUUGAGUGUCACGCCUAUACGCUUUGUCAUAUUGACACAAAAUUUGAGAAUCACGUGUAUCUCAAUAAGAUCUACGAAAAAGUCAGUGCGGGCGUAUCUGUCAAAUGUACGGUUAAAGGGUUAUUUCGCAUUUUUUCCCGAUCCGCACACAUUGGAAUUUCGCUAACUCCUCCGAAGGCUUUAGUUCCACCGCCACCAAAUUUGCUCAGGCCAAUCUACACCCCAUGGCCAUUAAAAGUUGUACAAAUCAUGACGCUGCACUCCACGGUUUAGGUUCUAGGGGGCGCCAAAGAUAACCCAAAAAUCCACAUUCUUAAUAGUCUUAUAACUUUUUAUUUUUGUCCUCACUGGCCUCCAAGUUUUCUAGGAUGAUGCAAUGUCCAGCCAUCAACACAUUUGUAAAGGAAUUUUUACUCCCGAAAAGAGCGCCCCCCCAUGGCAGGAGAAAAAAGUCCAUUUUUUCUUGUCCCCUAAGGUGAAAAAACACAUUGUUGACUGUCACGCCUAUACGCUUGGUCAAAAUGACACAAAAUUUGACACACACGUGUAUCUCAAUAAGAUCUACGAAAAAGUCAAUGGGCACGUAUCUGUAAAAUGUACGGUUAAAGGGCUAUUUCGCAUUUUUUGCCGAUUCGCACACAUUGGAAUGUGGCUAACUCCUCCUAAGGCUUUUGUUCCACCAGCACCAAAUUUGCUCAAGCCGAUCUACAUCCCAUGGCCAUUCAAAGUUGUAAAAAUCAUGCCGCUGCACCCCAUGGUUUACGUUCUAGGGGGCGCCAAAGAUGACCCAAAUAUCCACAUUCUUAAAAGAAUCCACAUCCCCCCCCCCCCCAAGGCAGGAGAAAAAGUCCAGUUAACCCUGCCCAUCGCUCAAUGGCUCAAUCGCAUCGCUCUCCUGGCAACACCGCAAGGAGGAGCAACUUGCCAUUUGGAUAUAUCCUAGCUGUGUUUGUGCCCUCACUCAUGGUCCAGACUUUUUUCAAAUAGGACAUGUAGUUUGUCUGCAGCGACCGUUUUGGUAGAAACUGCGCCUCCCAUUCAUUAUAAUGGGAAAUGACCACAGACAAGUGCGCACACCAUCUUUGGACCUUGAGUGUGAUGCGAUCGGGAGGGGGAGGCAGUCGUGCUGGGGGCGGCGCAACGUGGCUCGGGCCCGACAGUGCCCCACCGGGGCCCUAGUCUUCUUAUUAGGGCCCGAGCGUAGCUGCUAAGCAGCUGCGAGAGCCCUCUUGUUCCUGCAUGUUUCCUUCUUUCGUUAUUAGGGCCCGAGCGUAGCUGCUAAGCAGCUGCGAGAGCCCUAUUAUUCCUGAUGGAUUCUUCUUUCUUCUUCUUCUUCUUAUUAUUUUUCUGCCCCUUUGAACUGGAAAAUGGCCCACUUCCCACUGGUGAAAACUCAUGAAAUUUGGCAGGACGACCGGGCCUGGUGAAAAAUUCGAUAUUCUGAAGUCAUCCAAACAAUCAAAUGCAAAAUGGCUCCAUAGCGCCCCCUAAGGUGAAAAAUUCACAUGAUUGAGUGUCACGCCUGUACGCUUUGUCAAAAUGACACAAAAUUUGACACACACGUGUAUCUCAAUAAGAUCUACAAAAAAGUCAGUGCGGGCGUAUCUGUCAAAUGUACGGUUAAAGGGUUAUUUCGCAUUUUUUGCCGAUCCGCACACAUUGGAAUUUCGCUAACUCCUCCGAAGGCUUUCGUUCCACCGGCACCACAUUUGCUCAGGCCAAUCUACACCCCAUGGCCAUUAAAAGUUGUACAAAUCAUGACGCUGCACCCCACGGUUUACGUUCUAGGGGGCGCCAAAGAUAACCCAAAAAUCCACAGUCUUAAAAGUCUUAUAACUUUUUAUUUUUGUCCUCACUGGCCUCCAAGUUCUCUAGGAUGAUGCAAUGUCCAGCCAUCAACACAUUUGUGAAGGAAUUUUUACUCGCCAAAGAGCGCCCCCCCAUGGCAGGAGAAAAAAGUCCAUUUUUUCUUGUCUCCUAAGGCGAAAAUUCACACUAUUGAGUGUCACGCCUAUACGCUUUGUCAUAUUGACACAAAAAUUGACACACACAUGUAUCUCAAUAAGAUCUACAAAAAAGUCAGUGCGGGCGUAUCUGUCAAAUGUACGGUUAAAGGGCUAUUUCGCAUUUUUUGCCGAUCCGCACACAUUGGAAUUUCGCUAACUCCUCCGAAGGCUUUCGUUCCAAAGGCACCACAUUUGCUCAGGCCAAUCUACACCCCAUGGCCAUUCAAAGUUGUACAAAUCAUGACGCUGCACCCCACGGUUUACGUUCUAGGGGGCGCCAAAGAUAACCCAAAAAUCCACAGUCUUAAAAGUCUUAUAACUUUUUAUUUUUGUCCUCACUGGCCUCCAAGUUCUCUAGGAUGAUGCAAUGUCCAGCCAUCAACACAUUUGUGAAGGAAUUUUUACUCGCCAAAGAGCGCCCCCCCAUGGCAGGAGAAAAAAGUCCAUUUUUUCUUGUCUCCUAAGGCGAAAAUUCACACUAUUGAGUGUCACGCCUAUACGCUUUGUCAUAUUGACACAAAAAUUUGACACACACAUGUAUCUCAAUAAGAUCUACAAAAAAGUCUGUGCGGGCGUAUCUGUCAAAUGUACGGUUAAAGGGCUAUUUCGCAUUUUUUGCCGAUACGCACACAUUGGAAUUUCGCUAACUCCUCCGAAGGCUUUCGUUCCAAAGGCACCACAUUUGCUCAGGCCAAUCUACACCCCAUGGCCAUUAAAAGUUGUACAAAUCAUGACGCUGCACCCCACGGUUUACGUUCUAGGGGGCGCCAAAGAUAACCCAAAAAUCCACAGUCUUAAAAGUCUUAUAACUUUUUAUUUUUGUCCUCACUGGCCUCCAAGUUCUCUAGGAUGAUGCAAUGUCCAGCCAUCAACACAUUUGUGAAGGAAUUUUUACUCGCCAAAAGAGCGCCCCCCCCAUGGCAGGAGAAAAAAGUCCAUUUUUUCUUGUCUCCUAAGGCGAAAAUACACAUUGUUGACUGUCACGCCUUUACGCUUUGUCAAAAUGACACAAAAUUUGACACACACAUGUAUCUCAAUAAGAUCUACGAAAAAGUCAAUGUGAGCGUAUCUGUUCAAUGUACGGUUAAAGGGCUAUUUCGCAUUUUUGGCCGAUUCGCACACAUUGGAAUGUGGCUAACUCCUCCUAAAUCUUUUGUCCCAUCGGCUUCAAAUUUGCUCAGGUCAAUCUACACCCCAUGGCCAUUCAAAGUUGUACAAAUCAUGACGCUGCACCCCACAGUUUACGUUCUAGGGGGCGCCAAAGAGGACCCAAAUAUCCACAUUUUUAAAAGUCUUAUAACUUUUUAUUUUUGUCCUCACUGGCCUCCAAGUUUUCUAGGAUGAUGCAAUGUCCAGCCAUCAACACAUUUGUGAAGGAAUUUUUUCUCCCCAAAAGAGCGCCCCCCCAUGGCAGGAGAAAAAGUCAAGUUUUCCUGCCCAUCGCUCAAUGGCUCAAACGCAUCGCUCUCUCGGCAAAACCGAAAGGAGGAGCAACUUGCCAUUUGGAUAUAUACUAGCUGUGUUUGUGCCCUCACUCAUGGUCCAGACUUUUUUCAAAAAGGACAUGGAGUUUGUCUGCAGCGAGCGUUUUGGUAGAAACUGCGCCUCCCAUUCAUUAUAAUGGUAAAUGACCACAGACAAGUGCGCACACCAUCUUUGGACCUUGAGUGUGACGCGAUUGGGAGGGGUAGGCAGUCGCGCUGGGGGCGGCACGACACGGCUCGGGCCCGCCAGUGCCCCAACGGGGCCCUAGUUAUUUUUCCUCCGCUUUAAACUGGAAAAUGGCCCACUUCCCACUGGCAAAAACUCAGGAAAUUUGGCAGGACGACCGGGCCUGGUGAAAAAUUCGAUGUUCUGAAGUCGCCCAAACAAUAAAAUGCAAAAUGGCUCCAUAGCGCCCCCUAAGGUGAAAAUUCACAUGACGGCUGUACGCUUUGUCAUAUUGACACAAAAAUUGACACACACAUGUAUCUCAAUAAGAUCUACAAAAAAGUCAGUGCGGGCGUAUCUGUCAAAUGUACGGUUAAAG